rnacentral:rRNA from 1 species
AGUGAACGCUGGCGGUAGACCUAACACAUGCAAGUCGAACGGCAGCACAGUAAGAGCUUGCUCUUACGGGUGGCGAGUGGCGGACGGGUGAGGAAUACAUCGGAAUCUACUUUUUCGUGGGGGAUAACGUAGGGAAACUUACGCUAAUACCGCAUACGACCUACGGGUGAAAGCAGGGGAUCUUCGGACCUUGCGCGAUUGAAUGAGCCGAUGUCGGAUUAGCUAGUUGGCGGGGUAAAGGCCCACCAAGGCGACGAUCCGUAGCUGGUCUGAGAGGAUGAUCAGCCACACUGGAACUGAGACACGGUCCAGACUCCUACGGGAGGCAGCAGUGGGGAAUAUUGGACAAAGGGCGCAAGCCUGAUCCAGCCAUACCGCGUGGGUGAAGAAGGCCUUCGGGUUGUAAAGCCCUUUUGUUGGGAAAGAAAAGCAGCAGGUUAAUACCCCGCUGUUCUGACGGUACCCAAAGAAUAAGCACCGGCUAACCUCGUG